rnacentral:tRNA from 2 species
CCGCUUUAGCUCAGUUGGUAGAGCACAUCAUUCGUAAUGAUGGGGUCAGGUGUUCGAGUCACCUAAGCGGCACCA